GCACGUGAACAGCGGUUGAACAUGGGUCAGACGGUCCUGAGAGAUGGGUGAGCGCCCUGAUCGAAAGGGAGUCGGGUUCUGAUCCCCAAAUCUGGAGUGGCAGAGAUGGGCGCUGUGAGGCAUCCAGUGAGGUAACGCAACCAAUCUGGAGAAGCCGGCCGGAGCCUGGGGGAGAGUUCUCUUUUCUUUGUGAAGGUCAGGCCACCCUGGAAUGGGUUCCCCCCCAAGAGAGGGGCCCGUGCCUUGGAAAACAUCGCGGUAAAGAAAACAAAAAACAAAACGUUUGCAUGUAGAUGACUCAAUUAAUUCUCAUGCCAAGACACUGGGUGUUGACUCAGUCACACACACUG
rnacentral:ncRNA from 1 species